CCGAAUUAAGAAGAGAAGCGCCGUCAGGCCCCGCCAGUACUGCGAUCGGAGACGUCGUGGGAACACGGGGUGCCGAACC
rnacentral:snoRNA from 1 species